GACUUUAAAAGCUUGCUUUUAAAGUUAGCGGCGGACGGGUGAGUAACACGUGGGCAACCUGCCUGUAAGACUGGGAUAACUUCGGGAAACCGGAGCUAAUACCGGAUAAUCCUUUUCCUCUCAUGAGGAAAAGCUGAAAGACGGUUUACGCUGUCACUUACAGAUGGGCCCGCGGCGCAUUAGCUAGUUGGUGAGGUAACGGCUCACCAAGGCGACGAUGCGUAGCCGACCUGAGAGGGUGAUCGGCCACACUGGGACUGAGACACGGCCCAG
rnacentral:rRNA from 1 species